GAAUUUAAGCAUAUAAUUAAGCGGAGGAAAAGAAACUAACCAGGAUUCCCUCAGUAAGGGCGACUGAAGCGGGAAGAGCUCAAGAUGUGAAUCUGCGCUAUAUUGCGCCGAAUUGUGGUCUGUAGACAGUGACAUUACUAGCCGGGCCAAGUCCCUUGGAACAGGGCGGCUGAGAGGGUGAGACCCCCGUUCGCCUGGCAAGAUGAGUUACUAGUCAACGAGUCGAGUUGUUUGGGAUUGCAGCUCAAAGCGGGUGGUAAAUUCCAUCUAAAGCUAAAUAUUGGUGGGAGACCGAUAGCGUACAAGUACCGUGAGGGAAAGAUGCAAAGAACUUUGAAAAGAGAGUUAAAGAGUACCUGAAAUUGCUGAAAGGGAAGCGAAGGAAACCAGUGUUUGCGUAGUCAUAUUUCCCUGUCCGCUUGCGGUUUGGGCGCUGUGUCUUGCUUGUGUUGUUUUUGGUUGGACCCUCUGGAAGAGCGCAGUUCAGUCUGUUGCUAGCAUUGGAUCUGACUGAGUACGACGAAAUGGUUUUCUUUACCCCGUCUUGAAACACGGACCAAGGAGUCUAACAUAUGUGCGAGUACAGGGGUGGCAAACCCCCGUGCGCAAUGAAAGUGACAGUGGUUGGAAUUUUGCACAAUCCGCCGGCCUCAAUCCCUCGGGAGAACGGUCUGAGUGUGAGCAUACAUGUUGGGACCCGAAAGAUGGUGAACUAUGCCUGAAUAGGGUGAAGCCAGGGGAAACUCUGGUGGAGGCUCGUAGCGAUUCUGACGUGCAAAUCGAUCGUCAAAUUUGGG
rnacentral:rRNA from 1 species